CUUUCUCUUCGUAGUCAACAGUUACUUAUGGAUAUUUUCAAAGCAAUGACCAGGCGAGACAUACUUCCUGAAAACGAUAGAAGAUUUUGCGUUUAGCACAAUGGUCCUACUGUAUAGUUGGACACGUUUGGCAACUCCAAGACGUUACGCGAGCCAUGCUUUAUGUGGAUAACAGUGCGGCUUAAAAGGCUCCAUCUUCAACUCUCUACAAAGCAGGCGUCGGAUAGAAGCGGCAUUAGGGUUUCAAUGGUGUUGCAUCUCGCUUCACUUCACCUUUUAAUGGUGACAAAGCUUAGCACUCACAAGACUUUCUUAUCUGACCAUCUGGCUUUUAACAAAA